GCUCUAGUAUCUCCGUCAACCUCCCGCCGUGCAGGCCCGGACGUGGGCGGCGGAAUUGGUUUUCUGGGACAGAACCUUGUGUUCGCUGAGCUGGUCUUCCCACGUAGACAAUCUACGUGAUGUGAGUUAUUCGUUGUCUCACUUUAUUUACUGUUUAAUUUUGUGCAAUCUGCUAGUAUUAAAUACUUUGGUGUGAUUGCACUGUUGUGGGCGGAUUUGUGUGCUCGAUGAUGAUAGUGGUGUAGUGAGACAACGUGACAGUCUGGGUUUUAGUGUAUUAUCAUUUUCAGCAUUGAUAUUAUUUGUGCCUAAUUAAAUCUCUCUUUGUUGAGGCUGUUUACCUGUGUUAAAUUCUGUUAUUUUAUUUAGUACACAGCUCCUUACUAUUAGUAUUUAGAUUUGAUUAUUAGGCUUAUUACAUCUGAUCUAAAACCCUGAUUUGGUAAGAUAGGGCUGUCACGUUAGUCGAGGAUCUCUGAUCACCUAUUAGCGUUGGAGGGCUGUUUAUUACAGCAACCCACUAUUUUGAGAGCAAUACUUUAAGAAAAACAACCAUGUUUAUUUGUUUAAUCUGCCUACUUCAUCUGCAAGCCAUGUUUAAUUAUAAAAUGGACCUGAGAUGCUAUUUUACAUGUUUACAUGUUCUAGAAUUGCUACUGUUCAUUGCUGCAAUAAUUAUAUAUGGCAUUUUGUCUGAGUUAUAUGCUUGUUUUAUUCGGAAUUAGAAUAUUUAAUUUAUUUAAAUAUGAAGGAAGCAUGUCACUUAUUUCUCUAAUAUUACAACAAUCCAGAAAACCAAUACGUAUAAUGGUCUACAGUUCUGAUGUCAUUAAGCCUGAAGCGUUCGACGGCGCAAGCUUUAAGCGCUGGCAGAUUAAGACUCGCAUGUGGCUCACUGACCUAAAAUUAUUUUGGGUAGUGACGUCGGCUAUUCCACAGGCUGCAUCAGAUGAUUCUGAUGAUGCAGCGAAGGCCGCCGCACUAGCGGAGAAGGCCAAGUGGGAUGAAGCCAAUGAGGCAUGCUUGUCUCGUCUACUGAACGUCUUGUCGAACCGCUUAUUUGACGUGUACUCUGGUUUUACCUCCGCUAAGGGUCUAUGGACUGAACUUGAGAACGAGUUCUCUGAAGUUGACAAUGGCAAUGAGUCUUUCACAACGGAAAACUACCUCAACUAUAAAAUGGUUGAGGGAAGGUCUGUUAUGGAGCAGCUACAGGAGAUUCAACUCCUUGUUAGGGACUUGGUCCAAUAUGGCUGCGUCCUACCAGACAGUUUUCAGGUGAAUGCAAUACUGGCAAAGCUCCCGCCUUCUUGGCGAGACUUUGUGACUUCACGCCGCCACAUGAAGAAGCAAAUGACUCUCACUGAGUUGUCAGCUGCGAUUAAUGUGGAAGAGCGUGCAAGGUCCAGUAACAAGCCAUCUCAGCAACUCUAGGCUCACGUUGUUGAGAAGGGUGGAGAUAGAAAAUUCCAGAAGAAGAAGAAGAACUCUCCACAGAAGAAUAUGAACCAACCUAAGUCCAAAAAGAUGAAGAAGAAAAAGGAGGACUUUAUGUGCUACGUUUGUGGUGUCUCCGGGCAUACAGCUCGGAGGUGCAAACUUAGGAAGGGAAAAGGUCCUCCACCUCAACGCAAAGAAGGGAACGUGGUGGUUAACUCCACCCUAGGGUAUGCACUUCAGGCCUUUAUGGCAAGUCCAUCAGAUGAUUGGUGGAUGGAUUCCGGUGCUACUGUUCAUAUUUGUGCUGAUCGAUCCAUGUUCUCUUCAUUCCAGGGAUACAACAGCGCAUCAGUCUUGAUGGGAAAUGGUGUUCCGGCAACAGUUCGAGGUACUGGACAGGUCUACCUGAAGUUAACUUCAGGAAAGACGCUCGUUCUGAAGGACGUACUCUAUGUGCCAUCGAUGAGCCGGAACCUCAUAUCAGUGUCGCUGCUAUGUCGACAGGGUCUCAAAUUAGUGUUUGAGUCUAAUAAAGUGGUCCUGUCUAAGUUUGGUACUUUUGUUGGAAAGUCAUAUGAGUCAGGUGGUUUGUUCCGUCUUUCUGUUUUGAAUAAUCAUUCUUCUUACCAUGUUAAUGUGGUCUGUAAUAACGAUUCCAUUAAUAAUAUAUGGCAUUCCCGUUUGUGUCAUGUGAAUUUUGAGGCCAUUAAGAGAUUAAGUGACAUGUCUUUAAUUCCUGAAUAUAAACAUGUUAAAGGUGUAAAAUGUGGUAUUUGUGUGCAAGCUAAGCAGCCUAGAAAACUGUUUCAUACGGUUGAAGGCAGAAGUACCACUCCUUUAGAACUAAUUCACUCAGAUAUCUGUGAGAUGAAUGGUAUAAUCACAAAAGGCGGUAAAAGAUACUUUCUUACCUUGAUAGAUGAUGCUACCAGGUUCUGUUAUAUUUACUUACUCAGAACUAAAGAUGAGGCACUAGAACACUUUAAGAUCUAUAAGACUGAAGUUGAAAACCAGCUAGACAAGAAAAUUAAAAGGUUACGGUCUGAUAGAGGAGGUGAAUACCUUUCCAACCUUUUUUAUGAGUACUGCAAAGAGUGUGGAAUCAUUCAUGAAACCACUGCUCCAUAUUCACCUCAGUCAAAUGGGGUAGCUGAAAGGAAGAACCGAACAAUGUGUGACUUAGCAAAUGCUUUGUUGCAAAGGUUCGGGGAUGCCUGACAUCUGGUGGGGCGAGGCAGUACUCACGGUGUGCUAUGUCCUGAACAGGGUGCCGCCUCGCAACCGUGAGGCCACGCCCUAUGAAGGAUUUAAAGGAAGGAAGCCAGAUCUUUCGCAUCUUCGAACUUGGGGCUGCCUUGCAAAGGUGAAUGUCCCAUUGCCGAAGAAGAGAAAGCUAGGCCCUAAGACCAUAGACUGUGUCUUCCUGGGUUAUGCACAUAACAGUGCAGCUUAUAGAUUUCUAGUGGUCCACUCCGAGACAAGCGAAAUCGUUGUAAAUGUAGUAAUGGAGUCUCGGGAUGUGACAUUCUUUGAGAGCAUCUUCCCUAUGCGGGAUAAGGAAGUAGUAGCCCCAGAUGGUCCAUCUCGGACAUAUUCUCUGCCCUCGAGUGUCCAUGACCAGACUCCAGAUUUGGAGUUAAGGAGGAGUAAGAGACAAAGGACUGAAAAGUCUCUGGGUGAUGAUUAUAUUAUCUAUCUAGUGGAUGAAGAAUCACGCUCCCUCACAGAGGCAUAUACAUCUCUGGAUGCAGAGUACUGGAGGGAGGCUGUCCGUAGCGAGAUGGAUUCAAUCAUCUCGAACGGAACUUGGGAGAUAACUGAUCUCCCAGUUGGUUGCAAGCCUGUGGGCUGUAAAUGGAUCUUUAGGAGGAAGAGGAGACCCGAUGGUACUAUUGAAAAGUACAAGGCCUGUCUUGUGGCUAAGGGUUUUACUCAAAAGAAAGAGGAGGAUUAUUUUGAUACUUAUUCUCUGGUGGCUCGAUUGCCCACAAUCUGUGUGCUUUUAGCGCUGGCAGCUGCUUAUAAACUUCUUGUUCAUCAAAUGGACGUAAAGACAACAUUCCUAAAUGGAGAGCUGGAAGAGGAAAUUUAUAUGCAGCAACCAGAAGGAUUUGUGGUUAAAGGACAAGAGAGCAAAGUGUGUCGCUUGAUUAAAUCCUUAUAUGGUCUGAAGCAAGCUCCCAGACAAUGGCAUGAGAAGUUUAAUAAUACUCUGACCACUGCCGGGUUUUGUGUAAACGAAGCCGACAAGUGUGUGUAUUAUCGCUUCUCUGGGGGCAAAGGUGUCAUCAUGUGUUUAUACGUUGAUGACAUAUUGAUAUUUGGGACCGAUUUGGAGACUAUCAUGGAGACAAAAUUAUUCCUCUCCAAGAACUUUGAUAUGAAGGACUUGGGUGAAGCUGAUGUUAUACUGAACAUCAAGCUGAUAAAGGGUGAGGAUGGGAUUACUUUGUCACAAUCACAUUAUGUAGAAAAGGUCCUGACUCGCUUUGGACAUAUGGACUGUAAACCAGUCACCACGCCCUAUGAUCCAUCCUACACGCUCAGUAAAUAUGAAGGCGAGCCUGUGAACCAGCUACUAUAUUCGCAGAUCAUCGGAUCUCUCAUGUACCUGAGCAGUGCAACUAGACCAGAUAUCUCAUAUGCAGUAUGCAGACUGGCUCGUUAUUCGGCCAAUCCAAGAGAUAGACACUGGGUAGCCUUGUACAGAGUGCUUCGGUAUUUGAAGGAAGCGAUGAAUCUUGGUAUUAAAUAUACCGGAUUUCCGUCAGUGCUUCAAGGAUUCAGUGAUGCAAACUGGAUCUCUGACUCGGAUCAAAUGAAGUCUACAAGUGGCUAUGUGUUCACUUUAGCUGGUGGGGCCGUGUCAUGGAGAUCGUCUAAACAAUCAGUGUCGACACGUUCCACCAAGGAGGCUGAAUUAGUUGCACUUGAUUCAACAGCAUUGGAGGCUGAAUGGUUGAGAGACCUGCUGUCAGACCUUCCAAUGCUAGCAAAGCCGAUAUCGGCUGUCCUAGUAUACUGUGACAACACUUCUUUGUUGCUAAAAGUGAACAGUAGAAAGGACAACAAAAAAUCCUCGAGGCAUAUCAGAAGACGACUUGAUUCAUGUCGGCAUGCUAGAGAGACGGGUGUAAUAACCGUAGAUUACAUCAAGUCUGAAAGGAACCUUGCUGAUCCUUUCACCAAAGGACUGGCUCAAAAGCCAAUCCAAGCAGCGUGCAUUGGAAUGGGACUCGUACCCUGUUAGCGGUUUCAACUGCGGAUAACUGUCGUGUGUGACCGGAGAUCCCGAGAUCCAGGCUCCAGGAAACGAAGCACUGUGAAACCAAGAGCACAAACGAUAAAGAGUCUCAUGAGCUGCUGUGCUCUGUCUGUAUGGCAGGUUGAGCGAUAUGCUCUUAAUGAAGUCAACGCUACAAGCAGGGAAAUUGUCCUACAGAAUUUCCUUAACGAUUUCACCUAUAUGAGCUGACUGUGGGGUCGCAGUCCAGGAGAGAAUGGGGUUUUCUCUCUAGUGAGCUCAUGAAUAGAUAUUAAAGGGCAUGACCGUAACGCCCUGCCCCGUAAGAGAAUCAGAUAAUCUGCCUAGUACUAUGUGCCUUUUGUGCAAAGAUUCUCACACUAGGGUUUGUGGAUCAAGGCGUAGUCCUCCGCUUACUCGUGCAGGGUUGGAGUACACUAGGAUAGGCUUUGGUUCAAACCUAACAAGUACCUCUGCCAAAAAGUAGUAUAUAAACAGUACGGGAGCUCAAUGACAUUGAUCAGAAAAUAAGAGUGAAAAUGGUGGGGAUUGCUGUUGAAUUUGGGGUUUUCCCCUUAUAUAAAAAAAGUGUGGCCAGCCAACCGGGCCACUACAAGGCCCGGAGGCCGAGCGGCCCAGCCAGCGGACAGCACGGCCUGGGCACUAGUUGCCUCGGUAAGAAACCGCAGAGACGGAAAGGAGCAGAUGGCUGAGCGGAGGUGGGCGGCGGCGGCAACUGUAGCUCCGUUUUCUUCGCUUCCUCGUUGAACGACCGCAGCUCUCUACCCUCUUCUCGGUAACGGACUUUCCCUCGGCUCCUUAAGUGGAUCCCCUUCCUCUGUUCUCUGUCUCUUAAGGAAACGCAGAGACAGAGGGCUCUACGGUUCCAUCCUAUCCACUGUUCCGGCGAGAAAUCUUUCGAUCUGCUCGAUUCCGGGUGUCCUGGUCUCGUCCGUAUCGUCGGUUGUGUGUUGUUCUCGGUGGUGGUGGUGUGGUGUUGUUGACGCCGUGCCUUGGUGCUGCUCGUUGAUUCUCUGGUCUCUGUCCACCGUGGCCUGGUCUCUGGGCUCCCUGCUGCGCGGUGUUCGUCUUCUCGGGUUGGUGCCGUGGACGUCUCCCUCGGCUCCGGCAGCGGCUCUAGUAUCUCCGUCAACCUCCCGCCGUGCAGGCCCGGACGUGGGCGGCGGAAUUGGUUUUCUGGGACAGAACCUUGUGUUCGCUGAGCUGGUCUUCCCACGUAGACAGUCUAUGUGAUGUGAGUUAUUCGUUGUCUCACUUUAUUUACUGUUUAAUUUUGUGCAAUCUGCUAGUAUUAAAUACUUGGGUGUGAUUGCACUGUUGUGGGCGGAUUUGUGUGCUCGAUGAUGAUAGCGGUGUAGUGAGACAACGUGACAGUCUGGGUUUUAGUGUAUUAUCAUUUUCAGCAUUGAUAUUAUUUGUGCCUAAUUAAAUCUCUCUUUGUUGAGGUUGUUUACCUGUGUUAAAUUCUGUUAUUUUAUUUAGUACACAGCUCCUUACUAUUAGUAUUUAGAUUUGAUUAUUAGGCUUAUUACAUCUGAUCUAAAACCCUGAUUUGGUAAGAUAGGGCUGUCACGUUAGUCGAGGAUCUCUGAUCACCUAUUAGCGUUGGAGGGCUGUUUAUUACAACAACCUGCUAUUUUGAGAGCAAUACUUUAAGAAAAACAAUCAUGUUUAUUUGUUUAAUCUGCUUACUUCAUGUGCAAGCCAUGUUUAAUUAUAAAAUGGACCUGAGAUGCUAUUUUACAUGUUUACAUGUUCUAGAAUUGCUACUGUUCAUUGCUGCAAUAAUUAUAUAUGGCAUUUGUCUUGAGUUAUAUGCUUGUUUUAUUCGGAAUUAGAAUAUUUAAUUUAUUUAAAUAUGAAGAAAGCAUGUCACUUAUUUCUCUAAUAUUACAAUUAGAAUAUUUAAUUUAUUUAAAUAUGAAGGAAGCAUGUCACUUAUUUCUCUAAUAUUACAACACGUAUGAGUGGUCGUGACUAUAUCCAUAACUUUGAGGUCUAGCUCUAUGGGUGUAGGGCCCUUGCAACCCAUCAUCGAUAAUACGAUGUACCGCCCCCUCACUAUGAAUGGAAUGGUCUGUUGUCGAGCCAGCUCAUCCGGAAGGCUAAGGUAAUGCCCCACCUACCACGACACCAUACUUUUACAGAAUUUAUGAUUAACAGUUGUUUUACAGAAUUUCCUCACGUCCGUUAGCUCGAUUCAGCUUCGUAAAAAAAUAAUUUGACUCCUGAAAGAAACACACAUGGCAUUGGCAGGAUGUUGACAUCUGUAAUUGUUUCUUCUCGUGCUACAAAAGAAACAGAGCGACCAGAGAAUUUGACGCACAUGCUGUAUAUUUUUAUUUACAAGAAGAGCCUACACUGUGCAGGCUGUAGAGCAUACAGCCGUGACUUUGCUAAGCUAUUUGGAUGCAGUCGUUCAAGACAUGCACGCCGUUCUCGCUCAUCUGCUGUACUUCCGAAGGUGAUAAGAUCCGGAUGCAUCUCACACAGUUGAUGAACUCCCUGCCAAGAGGUACAAAGAAGACAGUGAGGUUACUCCGUGCAGGGAGCAAUUCAGAAACCGACGCAUGCACUACUACUACUAUUUCGAAAACAAACAAAAAAAAAGUGCAGAGAAGGCUAAUAGAGUACUUACUCCCAUGGAUCGUCUCCAACGAGAAGAACAUCGUUCUCGUAGUCGACAUAAACAAGCUUCCAAUCUGAACUGCCAGGAUGUUCCAGCUUCCCCUGGAGUCCAAACAUGCACGCAAUGGCUGACCUCAACUCAUGGUAAUCUCUGAACCGUGUAACGUCAAUACAUCUUCCAACUGAUCCUAACUUCUGAACCUGCCAUCAAGGAGAGCAAGACAGCAUAAGCAAAAAAAAUAAACACAAGGUUUCAUUUCAAGAAUCUUUAGUUUUAGCGUACCUUUGUAUAGGUCCGGACCGGUGGUUUCAUUUGCUUCGCACUUCUAUCCGUGCCGUACUCUGCCGCCGCGUCCAUACUGCAUGAAGGUGUUCCCAUGGAACUGGUGUGGAUCUCUUGCAGAGGCAAGGGUUGGCAUUCUCUUAUGUUUGACAGUUUCGGGAACGCCCCUGCAUCGAAGCUCCCCGUCGCCAGUGGCUGAGAGCAUGACGAGCUGUUUAUAUGGAUGGCUUCCAUGUGAAGGCCACUCAAGGAUGCGCUGUGGCUCUCCUCCGAGAAACUCAUCUGCACAUAGGAGUUGGAUGUGCUCGGCAAGUUGCUGCCGGCAUCCAAUUGUUGCAUCUCAGGCGACAUAAAUGCCAGUGUGUUUAUAUCCGGACUGCCGAUGAACUCUUGAAUGGAGCUAGGAAAGCACUCAGAAAGGCAAGAUGUUUGAAACGCAUCCAAGGCAUCAGCGUUCAUGGUGGAAGGUAUACCUUCAGAUGGAUUAAAAAUGUUAUCCGACGCGGUAACUGAUUGGAUGCCAUUGGAGUCUUGGUAAUAGGAAGGUGGAAUCAUCCAGUCCAGACCCUCAAAGAACUGUGGGAUACACCCUUGGUUUGGGAACGAACUGACGGACUUCCCUCCAUCAGGUGACUUUGAUGAUUCUAUCUUUGGUGGCGCAAGUAGUUCAUGCUGUUCAACCUGCUGCUGAACUUGGAGCUCUCCAGCAAAAUCACCAUGUGUAAGUGCUCCAGAUGAUUCUUCGUUAUUCCCACAGGUAGCUUGUUCGGCUUCACAGUCAGCCAGUCUUGGCUCUGAACCAUGCUUCUUGUCGUCACAAAUCUGAGAAGGUACUGAACAAAGCUCAGAUUUAUCUGAAAUGGUUUUCUGAUACGAGCUCUUCUUGCUCCUUCGAGUUUUUGUUCUAGGCUCACCCUUGCUGUUUUGAUCCGAAAUGCUUUGGCUUGAGUGUGAAUCUGUGCUUCUUGGUGCUCUUGGUUUAACACUCAUCUCCUGUGCAGGAUUUGAAUCACUAGCUGUCUGAACUUCACAGCUUACUCGAUCACUUCUCUGAAUACCAAGAGCAUUCAACUGUGGCUGGGCUUCAGUCGAAGGCAUGCUUUCUUGCUUCAUUGAAGCAGUGGAAGCACCAAACGUCUUUGGAGGGAAAUAGCUGUGCUUAGCAUUUUGAAUAAUGCUGGAAAAUGAUGAUUGUUGACAAGCGAUUGGACUUCCGAUGUUCUGGCCAGAUUGAUUGAGAAGCAGUAGAGCCAAUUCUGAGCCCAUCCCUGGCAUGUGCUGCAAGUUACCGAUAGGAUUUCCUUGUGCCCUUGGAAUUGAUGACAUAUUUACAGAUCCAAUUUGUAGGCCCGGAACUGCAAGUGGAAAAGGCAGAACUUGUUUCAGCUUGCUGCUUGAUGUUAAAGAAACCUACGGAAUGGUAGAGAAGUACCUCCAUAGCUAGGAAGACAUUGCCGCUUCGAAUUCAAAGGAGAAGAGAAAACCAUGUUCUCUGGAGUUUCGAUAUCCCAUAUGCUAACUCUUUCAGGUCUUUCUCCAUACCCAUGUUCAUCCCAUUCUACCUGCAAGUUGCGCCACUUUGAGUUUGGCCAUCGCAUCGGGUCAUAGUCGCUAAUUCCCACAAUAGCACCUGUGCAUCUGCGAUAUAAAGCAGUUUGGUUUGGAAUGGUUAUGGCGCAGAAGUACUCAUCAUAUGCUAAGCUCAAACACAAAUUCUAACUUAAAUGUUACAGUUUGCAUUCAAUUCAGAAACACUCUAGGCAUGAAAAUAUCUGAUUCUGAUUUAUUCUUUAUGCAAAGCUUAGGACGAAGACACCCUCCAGUAAUAUUUUGUUUUUGAACCUUGAAAGCAUGCUCAUUUAUAUUAACACUAACAUUAAUUAGAGAUGGUGCAGUAAAAUUCAGAACAUAGAACCAGAAAUAGAAAAUGCUGCCUACAUACAAAGACCAAGUGCAGAGAAUACAAACCUGCGCUUGCUUGACUCCUCCGUCUCAAACAUCAUCGCGAACCUCAUUCCAACAGAUGGUUGCAGAUACGUGGCCUUAUUGUACCUCGCAAGAGGAAUCACAAAUGGCGACGGGCUUGUCCUAUAGUGAUUUCAAUAACAAAUGUAUGUAAAUAUGCCUACCAGAAAAGCACGCCAAAUAAUGGUUAGAUAAAUUACAUACCGAGGAUUGUAGUAAAUAGUAAAUGAGCCACCACUUGAUGCUGCAUGAGCUGCUGCAGCAAGAACGCCUAUGUGCAUACUGUCAGUAGACAGGACGGAUGAAGACAAAGCCGGUUGUUGUCGGGUGGCCCUCCUAACACCGACAAGGAGCUGUGACUUCUCAUCCCUGCACCAACAUUUUUCUGUCAUUGGUCGCUUUGCAGUGCAGAAAGUUUAUUGUGUGGCAGAUUAUAACAUUAACAUGCUAAUCUAAUUUUAGACAAACUAUAGUUAUGGUGUCGCUGGAGUAGGCAUCAGUCGUUGCUUUCACAAUAGCAUUGGGAAGUAUUAGCACAGAUUGGUUCAUAGCUUGUAACAGCAGCAUAGACAUUGAAAAGAAUGAAGUUUAAAUUUAAAUUGGUGACCAACUAUUAAGAAAAGGCAGCAAGUAACAUACAAAAAUUUUAUGGUAACCAGUUUUGCUUCAUUACAACAAACAUAUCAUGAAGUCAAGGAAAGAUUCUAUAUGGUACAACCAGAUUUUGCAACCCCUUGAUAUGACAUCAUUUGAUAAACGUUAUAUAAAAUAAAACAGAUUUAGUUUCUCAGCAAUGCCAUAUACCUUUGCUUAAGACAAAGGAUAGACUGAUAUGUUUCUAAGUUCAAAUGCUGACCUGAUAAAUAAGACAGAGUCUCCAGCUUUAAGCCGUUUCGCCCCAACAAAAAGGCUCCAUCCAGUUGUUAGAAGAUGUCGCUUUGGCUGGCCUGCAAGGAGCAUCAAGGCAAGAGAGUCUUAGACAGUGGGACCAAAGGUAUCCUGCAACUUCUUUAUGCAAUAACAAAGAAGAACAAAGUCAGACAGUGUCCGACCCUACCACGAUAAAUGUGACGGAACGUCCACAUGUUAUCAUGCAAAUCUCGGACGAUAAGCUCCUGAUUAGGAGGCUGCAUUGAGUAAUCCUGGGGGUUGAAAACACGGGUCUGAGCUGAAGCUGAAAAAAGAAGAUAAAUCAAUUAUGCAAAAGAGUAAAGACAAGAACCUCGUACCAGUUGCGGAAACAGCUUCUCGGCAGCUCUCCGCGGCACUGAGAAGCCGCCAUGCGUACUUGUAUCGCUCGCGGUUAGAUUUUUGCAGAAGUAUUCGGUGGGGUGCUUGCUUUUGGUAUAGGCACCAAGAGUUGGAAUUGGGAAGACGUCUGUUUCCUGGAAUGGGCAGCAGGAUUAAAAAGUUCAUCAGCUUCUUCUGGAUUCCUCCCCAAUGCCAUCUCUUACCGUUACUGGUGCUUCCUAAAGGCAGUGCACGUUACACUACAGCACUUUCUGUUGGUGCCUACUAGAGACAAAAUUGGUGUGCACCAGUUGUAUGAGACGUCUCAAAAUUACAUAGUACUUAUUUUUUUCCAAGCAAAACUCUUAGACUUAUACGCAAUGCAUCACUGCACUGCAGCACAGUUCACGUACCGAGUGUAACGGUUGCAGGGUCAUCUGGCAGUAAAUCUCAUCAGUUUCUUUGUCGGCCUGUACAAGUCAAGCAUUAGCUAUUAGGAUUGUCCAAUGGAACUGAGCUAGUAGUACCAUUUACACUUACAUGCAAAGUGAUGUUGUGGACUUGGCAUAGCAGCUGCGGCGGGAGACUCGGGUAGUUUGGGAUGCGAGAAUUCGGUAUCUUUUUAGUGGUAGCAGCAACCUGCAAAAGAACGGCUUCAGCACCGAAGAGCGGGCACUUCACAAGUUGUGGAGUUAAGCUGGUCAGCGGGCAUUCCAUGGAUAAGGUAAAUGGAUUCAACAGCAAAGACAGAAUGGUUCACCGCAGCAGUAAAAAAAAGACAGCUAAAUAAUACUGCGUCGAUCGCAGUGUAUUCAGAAUCCCCGCUUCGGAAGAGAAAAAAAAAAGAAUAUUCAGAACCCAUUCGAACUAACCUGCUCGCUGUGGCCCUGCGGGAAGUAGUAGACGAGGCUCCCGCGCUGCGGCAAGCACACUAGCGGCCCCGCGCACGCGUGCCACAGCUCGGAGUUGAUCACCUUCUUCGCACCUGACGCCGGAAAGCGAGCACCGGGAAGAAAGAAAGAAAGAAAGGAAGAGCUCGCAUCACGCCAAAACGGGGACGGGGCAAUGCAGAAUUCUGCAAGACCCAAGCAAAAGCUGCAUGUACUACUACUCCUCACCCUGCGUUUCUCCCAUGAGCUGCAUUUCGUCGAGCAGCGCCGCCGCGUUCCUCAGGACACCCGACGUGGCCUUCUCCUGCGAGGAGGCCAUCAUCUCCGGGAGGCGCCGCGCCGCACGCACCAGACCGAAGCUGAAAAAGGGAAAACUCGAGCUUUUGUUGGUGCCAAGCUCCCGACGGAUGCAAUAUCGGCUCCCAGCAGCUUAUGCGCACUUUAGCAUUGGUGGCUGAGGGGAAGUGAGAGCUCUACCACGCCUGCAUGCCACUGUGAGAGAGGACGAGCGUGUUAAAUGGCAAGCAAGCUGUUUCUGUUUGCGAGCAGCAGGCAAAGAGGAGGUUGGGAGGGGAGUAAAGGCCAGGUGAAGAAGACGGAACCCAAGCCCCCAACCCAAACGCAUUUCCUAGUGGUAUAGCGGUGGUAGUAGCUGCUAGUGGCUACUGCCUACUGCUGCUAGCAAUGCAUUCCAAGCGAUGGUGUUGGGUGGGUUGGGGGUUUGGGUCCCCAUGGCGACCAGUCGACCACGACCCCGCCUUUUUUCCCCCAAGAAAGCAGGCGGCUUUUGUGUCCUCCUCACGCCACGCGCAGUCGCAGGCAGAGCAUGCCAUGCCCUCCUACGGCUACGAGGCAGUAGGAGUAAAGCCCAACAGGGGCACAGGGACAGGGGGGCUACGAACGCGCAGAGUAGAACGCAAAGAAUCUCGGUCGUCAGCUAGUAGGUCUAGCUGGUAUGUGCGUGCUCGAAUGAACUCCACGGGACGGGCGUGCACGCCACUUGGCGCCCGGCUCCUGAUGCGCCGAGCUGCAAUGCAAAGCCCCGUCGUUGCGACUUGCGAACCUGCAACGGCGACAGGCUCUUCUCUUUCCCCAUGCGGUGAAUGGCAGCGUGCGUGCAUGCAUGGUCUCUCAUGAACGGCGGCAACGCUAGGCAGGCAAGUGGCAGAGGUUUGGGGCUUUGGAUUACACGAGAGGCCGUGACUGACGCGUCACGAACCCGCUUUCUUCAUUGUCGUCCGUGCCGUCGAAUUCAAAACCAACAGAUAAAAGGAUGAGAAAGAUAGGGAGACGACGAAAGUCAAGAAGCAACAAAGCAAGAGAGAGGGAGGGGGGGGGGAGAUUGAGCAAUGCCAAGAACGGAAACCACACGUCGGCUUGUCUCCUCUCCAGGGACCGCCGCCACACGCAGGGCAGAACGAUGCCAAGGCUUGGUGGUUGAAGGAUGAAGAGCGAAGGCAACCACCAACCAGCGUCCAGCGGAGACGAGCAAGUGAAGCCAGCUCCACCAGAGUCCAGGCACCCCGAUAAAUAAAGCCAAGCGGCAAGUGCCAAGCGCUCUGCCGCUGGUAAAAGGCGACGUGGAAAGCGUGCAGAGAGGCGAUCGAGCCCGUGGCAGCGGCGCACCGCACGCCAGGGCUGGCUGGCUGGGGAGCAUGCACGCGGGACAUGGAUAGGAGACGCCGUGGUGUGGACCGUGGACUGACUGAUGGUGGCGGCGUCUUGUGAACAGUGGACUCAGCAGCAGCAGCAGCAGCACCAUGUCCGGUGCGUAUGGCGUGGCGUAGCUAGACGGAGCGGGUGGGCAAUGAUACCCAUGCACGCGCGCCCGGGGCGGGGGCGGGGCGGCCGUGCUCCGACUCCGAGUCCGAGCUCGACUUUCCUUUUGUCCGGUGCCUUUUUUUUUCUGCUUGGAGUUGUGUUCAUCUUCAUCAUCGCGAUCUCCCUCAGCAGUCUCUCUCCUCUGCGACCUUUGGGCGGGCUAAAGAUGCCGGCCUUUCGAGGGGAGGCGAUGCCAUGAUGCCUCAUUUGCGCAGGCAUAUGCUUCGCUGCCGGCCGGCCAGCCGAGCGAUCGUGUCUCGCUUUCUCGCCCUUCGUUCGGGCCGCUGCUUUGCGUCUCUGUCCCGUCUUGACCCAUCUCCCACAUGGCAGUCAGCUAGGCGCGGAGCAGCAGACCGGGGGAGAGAGAGCAGUGCGCGCGCGUACGUACGGCGGCGUGUCUACGCGUGCUGGCAAGCGCGACGCGCCACGCCACCGCCAUCCCCCUCGCGUCGCCGUGCGGUGUGGAUGGGAUGGGACUAGUCUUGUAUGGGGACGGAGAGGGAGGGAGUCGUCAGUUGGUCAGUGGCCAGGCAGGCGUGGGUGGAUGUGGAUCUGCUCGGGUAGGACGACGUCGAUCCAUCCAUUCCUUCCGGGGGCCGACGUCGAUCCAUCACGUACGGGGGGUACGGGGUACCGGCAGGGAUUCGGAUUCGAACCUGGCGAACAUGUGGUAGUCGUGGGCCCGUGGCCGUCUGCUGCACUAGUAUCCCGUCCAACAGGCCGGACGUACGACGCCGACGCGUGCACUACCGUAGGAGUACGUACGUACAUACUCCACGCCCAUACAUUACACUCCUGCUUGCUACGUACGUGUUUGGCCUCCAAAGUCUAGACCGCGCGAAACGGACCGGACCGGACCAGACCAAUGAAUGCCCCAUUUGGAUGAUGGAUCAUAAUGAGAUUCGCGAGCUCAGCUCCUCUUUUUUGGCAGCGAGAGCUAGGGAUAAAAAGUGGCUCACUUCCCAUCUCCCAGUACAGGAUCAGUAUGAGACAUGAGGAAUCAUCAUCGCUGUACGUAAUGCCGAUGCCAAGACUCCAAGGCGCCUUUUACUUGACCUGGGCGUGCAUCCUAUACGGAGUCGGACCUCGAGUGCAUGCGUUUUCAACGAUGCCACGCCUUCCAUUACGCGCGGGUGAAGAAUACUCAAAAAAAAAAAAAAAAAAAAAAGAGGAGACCCUUGUCCUGAACCAUCUUUGGCCUCUGUUCGACCCUUGGACGAGUACGUAGUGUAAGUAGUGCACUGUUUGGCUGCCCUUGUCCUGCACGAUGGCAAGACAAUACAAGAAGAUAAAAACACGGCCAGAGACAGAGACAGUCUCCUGAUGUGUAGUCCAGCCGUGACGAGUCCGGCAGCAGGCAGCAGGCCACCUCGGGGCAGACCGAAUCCCAUUACGAUCCCGUCUCGCUGCUCACGGCGCCAUGUCUCGGGUCAGGCACGAGGAAGAAGGUCCACGGUCCUCCCCGUCCGUCCGUCCUGCGAGACCGCGAGAGCUGAGCGCGAGUACCACUCCUCCUCUGCCUUCCCUGUCCUCCCUGCACGGACGGCAGCACGCGACGACGCGCACGUACCAGUACCAGACCGCCGCCCGGUCGUCGCGUUGCGCGUCACCCGCGGCCGCGCCACGCCACGCCAAGGCGUGACGAGACGGCUCCUCCGCCCGCCCGUGCCCGUCCUCACUCGCGCUCGCGGGCAGGUGCACUGCAGGGGGUGCACUGGACACUGGCCAGUGGCCACUGGGACAGGGCAGAGCUCUCCUCGGACGCUGCCGCAAAUGGGGCCAGCGCCCAGCGCGUUCUGGGUCGGCGGCUCGGCGCCCAGGACGAUGGACAUGGACGGCAGUGCUCCGGUCACGGUCAGGACUCAGAAGGGCCUGGUGGCCCGGGCUGAGUUGAGCUGAGCUGACGUGCCCCUGCCGGAGCGCAAGCAGCCAGGGUCCAGGGCAGGGCAGCCACAGGAGCGCGGGCUCCUCCAGAUGGCAGUUCUUCGCCCCGGCGACGCUGCCUGGGCCCCCCGCUGCACGUCAUGCCACGGCACGGACCACGGCCAGGGGAGGCGAGACGAGACGGGACGGGACGACGAGCCGGGGUGGGAGUGGGACCAGGUGGAGGGCGCAGCGGGCGGGUCAGAAUCCCCGGAAUGUCGAGACGAGACGGGGGGACAGGACGUCUCGCAUGACGUCACCGGCCAGAGCCCAAGGCCCAAGGGGAGGGGGGACAAAAAAACGAGAUUGUCCGUUUUAUUACUACUACACUACUCCUAUGGUUUUCUAGUACAUUUUAUUAACCAGCUGAUCUGUCUCGUCUCGAAAGAAUCGCGAGCCUGAAACUAGCACUUUGUUCAUGGAGAAAAUUCCUGGUAUGCCAUCAGAUUUUAUACUCAUCCCUUGUGUGCCACUGAGUGGCAUAUAAGUAUAAUUUUUGGUGUCUAUGACAUGUGGGGCCAGUGGCAUACAAGGGAUGAGUAUAUCUUUAUGGAGAAACCCCCGUGUACAUUUUUUUUACUGUGAGCUUUUUUAUCAUUAUGCGAGUAGAAGCCGUGUGGCACUGGUAUGGCAUGCAAGCUCGAUGUGUACUGUGGAUGGAGGCAUCAGGCAUGCAUGGUUCGAGCUACACAGCGAUUCUCCGUCUAGCACGCACGCUAGGUCGUCGUGCACUCAUGCCGUGAUGUGCGGUGCAGACUGGAGAUGGAGCUGUGCAUGCAUGCGUAGUGCUGGGAAUUGGGUCGGGUCAGGCUAGCCUGGCCCAAGUCUAUCGUGCUUUGUGUCCAACGGGUUCAGGGCAGCAAAGUCCAAAAGAUUUUUGGGUCGUAUCGUGCUAGCCCGAAAUGUAAAAACAGUGUUCCAGUCCGACCUUAAACCACGUCGUGCCUUCUUCGCAUCAUUUGACCCGUAUAUUUGAUCAAAUAAAAUCAAAAUAUUACGACCAUAUAAAAUUCAUAGCUUACUAAAUUAAAGAUAUUAAACAAUUCUAGCAUCAUUUGACUACAUAAACUCCAAAUAUAAAAAAAUAAAGUCGAUAUCUUACUAAAUUAAAGAAAUUAAACAGAUUGUGCUUAAUUGGCCGUACGGCCCAAGCCCGGUCCAUCUAUGCAGGCCGUGUCGGGGGCACGACGGGCCGUAAAUUGAGGCCCGGCCCAAGCCUGACCCAUAUUAUUUCGUGCUGGGCCGUGUUUUGUGCUCCUAUUUUCGUGCCGUGCUCGUGCUGGCCCGAAAAGUCUAGCCUAUAUUUCAAGCACUAUGCAUGCGUGCUCGAUCAUGGUGGUGGAGAUGGAUCACCGUCGCCGCCUUCUUUUUCCUUCGUGUAAUACAGUGUGUGCUAGCGCCACACAGUAAGCACCACUUCUCUCUCCUCUAUCAAUUAACCCAAAAAAAAAGACCCGGUGCCACUGUUCCUUUUGUACCGAGCUGGUUGGCUGCCCGAAACGCGACUGUGUACGACGGAGAAUCUCUAGCCACCCCUAAUAAUUGUGGUAAUGGUAGAAAGGGAACUUUGGGAGCCGCCGCCGCUAAUCAUGAGCUUUAAGCGCAAGCCCCUGAGUGAGCUCCGAGUCUCCGACCAUUUUGUCACCCCGGAAAGCCGCGCCAGCCAGGGGAAUAUACGCGUAGACAAGAAUCUCGCACAUGAUUAGCUAUACUGCUGCUGCCUUUGCGACGCCCUCUCGAUCACUUUCGCUUGGGCCCCGUUUGUUUCGUUAGAAUUGAAUUCUAUUCUAAUAAUUAUAAUUUAGACAAAACUAAUUGAGUUAAUAUAUUUAUUUAUGUAAUGUAUUUGUACGUUAUCCUAAAUCAUAUUAGAUAGAUAGUUAUACACUACAUUUAUGUUAUAGAGAAACAAGUAGAAGAGUGUGCUAUAAAUUGUACAUUAGAAAAGUAACAUGUAAAUCUAUAGAAUUAAUUUCCAUCUCUCGCCUCCAUGAAUUUGAAAUAGACUUAUAUAUACACUUUGGAAAGUUGUGGAAUGUCACAUUCUAAAAAAUAUCCUAUUGCAUUAGUUAAAUUCCAAUUCCUUAAAAUGAAGGGAAACAAACGGGCCCUUGGGGAAUUUUGACACGGGUGCUGUGCUGUGCUGUACUCCGCGGCCAUGCAUAUGCUGCCUACCAUUCUACAGCAGUACGUAGUAUAGUAGUAGUGCUCCUAUCUACGGUGGAGACUACUACCAUACGUCCAUACCAGCAGCAGACCGUCGUAGACAGACAGGGGACAUUGCAAGGCGUAGGCGCCGCCCGGAGUAGUUGAGCCCCAAAUGCAAGGGAGGGGAAGAGCAGCGAGCGAGACGACGGGACGGGAAAGCAAAGCUGCAAAGGGAACGAACGGCAUGGGAAUUUGGGACGACGGGGGUGCAUGGGCCAGGGGGACGGGAUGCUGUAUUGCUGUGCUGUGCAGUGCGGUGCGGUGCGCGCGCCUGGCGGCCUCGUAGUCCGCGCGCGGCCAUGGCGACACCGCGAGAGCAGAUCACUAGCAAGAGGCGGGGGACGGAUGGGGCGCGCGGGCAGUAGUAUACAAUACUACUCCAAUACAUGGCGUCCGGUCCGGGCGCGAGCGCCGAGGAGCACGCGCGCUCCUGCUGCAUACGCCGGGGGAAAGUCGAAGGUCGGAGGGACGGCCGCACCAUCGAUGGAUCCAUGGCCAUCAUGCUUGCUUCCGCCAUUCCAAAGUCUCCCUCGUCUCGGAUUCUCUCUCUCGGUGGCGUGGCGUGGCGUGGCAUGGCAUGGCAAGCCACGGAUGGGACGCCCGCUUUUGGGGGUCCUUUUCUCCCUCGUGACCCGUCUGAACGACCUUCUCAUCCUCAUUCUCCCUCCGUGUGGUGUGGACCGUGGUUUUGCGGCCCGGCCAACCAGCCACGGGCAGCUCCACCUCCACCAGGGGUCAGGGAAUGCCUCCUACGGGCUACGGGCCGGCCGCCCUCUCAUUCCAUGCAUGGUCACUGGCUCACCGCUACGUGCUGUAGGUAACUUGGUACAGUUCUAUACAGCUGAUGUACUAUUCUCUCCUCCUUUUGCCUUCCGGAUGAAUGAAAAAGUCUGAACCAAGACCUGCGUGCGCUCGUACCUGUCUGUCACCGUCACCUGUGUCUUUGCUGCCGGCUCGUGGAGCGUCACACUAGCGUAGCGGGCUUUGCAAUGGGCCGCUCAUGCCAUGGCGGACCGUCAGAGCUUGGGUUUCAUCUCUUAGUUCGCCAGCCAGCCCAUUAGGCCUUAUGGGUUCCAACUGUAGUCUGUAGACUGGCUCACUUCCAGUCUCCAGCUUUUCCUCCUACCCUUCCACUCUCAGACUGACUACAGCGGUUGACACUACCGCGCCCCCUCCCCUUGCAUGUCGGCUGUAGGGGGCACCCUAUGGCCGCAGCGGUGCCCCCUACAGCGCCCCCUACGUGUCGGUCCCCUUCUCUCUCCCCCCAGAUCUAGCGUGUCACUGUUCAUCACCCUAAACACUGUGCUGUGGGUCCACGAGUAAUUGUUAGUAAAUAAAAAAUUGAAAGUUGGUAUAGAAAAAUGAUAUUUUAUAGUGGUAGUAGGGUAUAGGGGGAGUAUUUAGGGGGAACCGCUGCGGGAGAUGAAAAAAUAGGGGAGAAAAUAGGGGGGAAAAGUGAUAUAGGGGAAAAAAAAUUAGAGGUAACGGUUGCGGAUAGCCUCAGCCGCCCGCCGGAAACUGGAUUCGUAUUCGUCUCUCCACAGGAUCACCUCUCCCUACGCCUCCUGCGUCAACUGCCAGCAGCCACCACUCACCUCUCCAUCAUUGCCUCCCUCCUCUUUGGUAGAAGAUGGCCUAAUCCCUAUCCUCCAGCUCCGUUAAUCCCUGUUAGGCAUCAAUCUUGCGGGAAAAAAGGGCAGACUCAGGGUCGAAGGCUCCCAUGAGUAGGGUCUAGGCCUCUAGAGAAGGGACCGAGGCAAACAAAGGGUUCAAAGAAGCAUAAACAAAAAUGAUGAGAUGAACUAUAGAGGCUAGUUUGGGAGCCACAAACCCGAAGAUGAUUGGAGAGGCUAAAAUCCUCUUCUUAUUUAAUUUUGAAUAAGAAGAGGAUUAAAUGAGAAGGAGAUUUUAGUCUCUCUAAUCUUCUUUGGUUUUUGGACUACUAAACUAACCCUAUAUGAUGCUAUAUUUCACUUUCCACCUACCGUUUUAUAUAGGAUCAACAAUAUAAUGUGGCUGGUUGUCAUUGUUACUACUACAAACUAAUGCCUCCAUCAUGCAAAAAAAGUCUACAGGCAAGUAUCUGAGGCCCUCUUCACUCCUGAAACCCUCAAAGCUGAAUGGAUAGGUGACAACACCAACAGUAAUUAAAGAUAACCAGCAUCCUUUGAUAUCUGGGCAAUAAAUGGAGCAACACCGGAUCCAGUACCCUCUCCCCUCCCAGCUCUGAAUGGUGUCUUUUCUCGACUCCUCAUAUUUACUGUGCGUGUGUUAUGUAGCCGACCUCUAACUUUGUCAAUGGAACUUUAUAGUUAGCUGAAGAUCCACUUUUGCAUAAAAACAUUGGAGGCAUAUAAUAUUAUCUAGUCCACGAAUCAACUGCUCUCUAAUUUGUAGAAGAUAAUGCGUCUGUGAACUGAUUAAGACUUGGGAAUCCAUGUUUAUAGCAUAAAAUUCGAUACCCUAAAACCGUAUAAUUCAAUUAUCAGGCCUUGAGGACACAACGAAAAAACAUACAAUAAUUGCCACAGUUAAAUCUAUUGGACUCGUACCGUUGGGUAGGUAUUCGAAAAAUUACAGAACUAAGCAUACCAGCAUCGACCCGGGGGGGCGAAAAUAAGCCCAGUUUUCAAAAUGUGAGCAUCUCAAAAUAGUGCUCAAAAAAUAAAAUACUACAUCCUUUAAAUUGUUGAAGAUACUAAAAACAAAUUAACCUCCAAUAGUUAAACCCUAAAUCAUGUAUUUUUAUAAAGUAAAUUACAUUUAGGAAAGAAAAUGUUGAGCAUGAUAUAGAGACAAUGAUAUGACACUAAUCUAGAGUGUGUAGUAUAUCUGGGAUCACUUCACAUUGUGCUCUAUAUUUUUUGAUACAAAAAUUAUAAAAUAUAGCACAAUUGGAGCUUUUUUAUGGGUUAAACCUUAUAUUUAAAGAUAGUACACUGAUUUAGGUCACUCUUGGAGAUGUUAUCGAGCCAAUGAGGGUCCGCCAACCUGCCACUGCUAAUGGGUGACAAUGGGCUCUAAAUUUUACACUAUAAGAUUUAAAGAUCGAAUCGGAUUAUGAUUGAGCCCUAUUUAUAUUAAUUUGUGAGCUAAAAUUUAUUUAGGGCAUACCAUUUUGUGAAGAAACGUUUGGAUCGUGAUCCAUUACCACCCCUAGCCACCGCCUAGAGGCCGCUCCAGAUCAUGCGAUUGACGGCGUUGUUGUCACCGUCGCCGCCGCCCACCACCUUUAUUCUUGUUGUCUCUAGAUGCGCGAACGAGCACCUCAUGCUCGUGCGACGGGGCAGCUUGUGGUCUCGCCACCCGCUUUCCAGCAGUGCACACGGUGUCCCAAACCCUAAAGACAUACGAGCGUCAAAACUGAGGUGGAGGAGGCAGUAGGUGAUGCCAUGGCCACUCGCUCGUCUCCUUAGCGAAAUGCAGGGACAAGGCAAGGUGGUGCCAUGGUGGGUGAUAGAGAGGUAUAGAAGAGGAGAUUUGAAGUGGCAUAUGGUUUUCAAAAAUUGGAGGGUUUGUUCUUUGCUUCUGUACUAGGGUGAUUAUAUUCUCAGGUUAAGGUGUCAAAUAAUGGAAUAUAUACAUAGGUUUUCAAAUACCCACUGAAGGCUUGUUUGAGAGCAAGAGAACGGAAGGGGAUAAAAUCCCUUCUACUCAAAAUAUACUCAAUUUUGAAUAGAAACGGGAUUUAGCCCAUCCAAUCCCCUCUAUUUCUUUUGCUCCCAAACAUUCCUUUACAAUUGUUUUGUCAACACUACCCUCAAAUUAGGAUAUUGGUGAUGGUAUAACCUAUUGUAGUGGGAUGGAGCAAUAAAAGAGUUGAAAGAGGCUAGACAGAAGGUAUGUAACAUCCUUGUUACUUCGACCACCUACCAUGGUGUAUGCAGAAAUCCCAGGGCAUUUCGGUUAUAGUUGACGAGGUACGUGGAUCAUAUUUCAGGUUCUAUGGUAGUUUGCCAAUCAUUAUAGUUGUGUAAGGCGCUGACUUAGUUGUGCAAUCCACACACAAGGUGUCAUGCUCCAUUAUACUGUCCUCAUUGCUAGGCCUGUGCAAAAUAAACCAAAACCGAACUAAUCGUUAGUAUUUUCGGUUCCAUGUUUUAGAAAACUGAAAUAACAUGUGUAAUUUCUAUUUUAUACGUCUGAAAACCGAAUUAACCAAAAGAUCGAGAUAUACUAGAAGUCCAAUAGACCAAUAGAAUUUUAGGCAUGCCUCAAUUUAGCCUUCCCAAAUCAUAAGUAUAUAAACACACAUACCCUCCAAAACAAUCCAUCCUCAACCAUAAUCCUUUAUCCGGGCUUUUGUGCACUCUUGCUAAACUCUAAAUUCGAGUCAGUUCUGUCUGUCCUAGUUGUAUAUUUUGGUUCUAGUAUUUUGGGAUCGAAAACUAUAAAAACUAAGGAACCGAAAACGCAAUCCUACUCGUUGCUUCACGUCUUUGAAGAUCUUGUUGAUAUAGAUAUGGUAGGCUAAUUGUAAGUGUAAUCAACCUCUUGGGGUUUUGGUGAUCAAAUGAUAAAACAAAUUAUGGUGUGCUUGGAAGCAAAGUAUUUCAAAACUAUGUUUUUGGAAUACUAUGGUCUUAAGAUGUCAUGACACAAUUGUAGUAAAAUUUGCAUCACUCUUAGCUACAUGUGUUUGGAGACAAAGUAUCUCAAAUCAUGGUAUAAAGUAUACAUGUGCAAGGUUAGUGGACAAAAACUUUGGGUUGGAGUUUCAAAUGGUGCACAAAUAUCAUGUUAUCUACAAAAUCAUAUCAUAGCAUUCAUAAUGUAGUCAAACACCUUUUUUUGUAAAAAAAUGCUUUGGUAUUCUCCAAUACCAUGGUUUCAUCUAAAAAACUCUAAAAUACUUUGCUUCCAAACACGUCUUUAAAAGUUUAACAUUUUUGCCUUAAGUAUGUGAUCAGUUUGGAUCACGUCAAAACGAUGCAAGAAGCAAGUACUCAUAUGGAAUCGCACAACACUUCAAAGAAUUUAGAUCCAACACUCAAGAUUCCUAGCGACUGUGAUUUUAAAUUUUAUCUUAUUAAGAAUUAGAAAUCUAUGUACUAUCAGAUUUAUAUCAGGUAAUGGUAUUUGUUGAAAAACUCAAAACCCAAGUUACAGAACUUCCCUUUUGUCACUACUCGAUUGUAGGUGAAGCUUGCAGUUCAAGCUGUAGGUGAAGCUUGAAGUUUGCACUCAAGAUUUCAUCAUAAUUGGAACACAGAAAAUGCAACCACGAAUUAAUUAUAGAAAAGUAUGGAUCUAAGACUACAAAGUAAGUUCUAUACUAAAUUAUAUAGGAGGACAUAUCCUGUGCAAUCACUCAUUUUGGUGCAAGCGCGCAAUUAAACUAUCCAGAGCAUCCAGUCUAUAUCCAACGGUUUCAUAUGGAAGUGGUUAAAUGUAAAAUAGACAUUAGGUUUCAGGUGGAAGGGGUUAAAUGUAAAAUAACAGUUACCAUUAGAUCUAGAUCGGAUGCACCAGAUCGCUUGAUUGCAUGCUUGCACCAGGAUAAGUGAUUGCAUAUGAUAUUUUCCCAUUAUAUAGUUUCUUAUGUAGAUUUACUCGUAUAGAGUUUAAUAAAAUUUUGAUGCUCGUUGGAUAAUAUAUGACCGAGUUAUAGAUUUAUCUAGAUAAGUUAUACAUGGUCCAAUAAAUAUGAAUUUUUAUGUAUAGUCAAAACAUGCAAUGAUUUGUUCACCAUAUUUUUACCACAUCUGGAUCAUAAAAACUGCAGCUAUAAAUUAAUUAUAGAAAACACAUAUACAAGCUUAUAGAUUAAAUUUUAUAAUAAAAUAUAUUAUAUCAUAUAUUCAUUAUACAUAUAUAUAUUCAUGUGGAGUUCUAUAAAAUUGAUUCUUUAUUUUAUGUUUUUACGUGAUUUAUUUUAUUUUAUAAAAAUUAUUUAGUCAAAAUAAACAUAAAAGAAAAAGAGAACGAAGGAACGUCUAGAGAUGUCAUGUGUUCGGUUUUUAGCGAUGAGAGAGGAUAUAUGUCCGGUUUUAUAAUUAAAAUAGAAAAACUGAUUUUUUAUGAAAGUUGUGCACGAUAAAAUAGUUUUUUUAAAAAUUAAUUUUUAUGUACUGUAGUACGUUAUUCCGGCGCAUCGUAUUUUUAGAAGAAAAGUGCAAGAGGAAAGAGGGCCCAAGUGAUUCCGUUCCAUCCGCAUGCAUCGCGGCCCAUCGCGGCCCAGCCCAUGACCUCUCCUCACCUUGGCGCUCGACGCUCGUUAGGCAUCCCGGGCCCGGGGCGGGUCUUUUUGCGCAGAAACCCCUUUACAAUCGCAUAAGAAAACUGUGGGCACUCUCGUCAUUGCGCACAGCGCCUGCUGCAUCCUCCUGGUCUCGACACGGAGCCCCAUUCCCACCCAUGCCAAUGACACGUGGGCCCAUCCUCCCGCAGCCCACGACAUCAGAAGCCGCGUAAGAGGAUAGGAGGUGUGCUUAGCGACCUGUCCUUUUCCCUCAUCUUAUUUUCAUCGCUCCCGAAGAAAUUUGCUCUAAAUAACAAAACAUAGGGCAAGAGCCUAGACUGAGGGGCCAGGAGAGAGGGAGAGGCCGAGGAGAGAGAUAGAGAGACAAAGGGGAGAGACCAAGCGCCAGUGACACAGAGAAGGGGCGGAGGAGAGAGAGAGAGAGAGAGAGAGAGAGAGAGAGAGAGAGAGAGAGAGAGAGAGAGGAGAAUCGCGGGAGGGAGGCGGGGUUUUUGCGUGAUUUGAGUUCUCCGGUUUUCCCCACGCUCCCGCCAUGGUGUCCGACCAGGAGAUCGCCAGCUGCGUCGAGUCCGUCCUCCGAGGCUCCGCCGGCGGGCCCGGGGAGGUCUCGCUCACCGCCGUGCUGCAGCAGGCGGAGGCCACGCUCGGCGUCGACCUCUCCCACAAGGCGGGCUUUAUCCGCGACCAGAUGGACCUCUUCUUCGGCCCGCGCCUCCAGCCGCAGCCGCUGACCACGCCACAGCUGGCGCCUCCCCCGCCUCAGGCCGUCGUUGCCCCCGCGGACGCCGUGCCUCAGCCUCAGCCUCAGCAUCAGGUUCUGCCGCAGGCACCGCCUUCGGCUCAGCAGAUGCAGCCGCAGCAGCUCGCGCCGCUUCAGCCGCAGCUCAUGUUCCAGACCAUUCACCAGCUCCCCGCCAUCUCUCCCGUCCCUGUGGUCUCCGCGCCGCCGGCCAUGGCGUUCUACCCGCCGCCGCCGCUCGCCUUCCGCUACACCACCGGCCUCGCUGGGGCCGCCACGGGUGGGACCGUCUCCUUCCAGCAGCCAGCCCCUGGGGCUGGGGGCACUGCUUCCCCCACCGCUGCACCGCAGGUCGCCGGCGACAACAAGGAAAGGUGAGUUGUCGAUGGAAUUAGGGUUUGCGUUCCGCGGAUUUUGGUGAUUUGUAUGUACUCUGUCGAUUGGUGCGGAAAUCUAGUCCGUCGAUUCGCAUGGUUAGGGUUGUUAAUAUUGAGGAUUCGAGUUCUAUAUUGUGAUGAAAUGGUUUUGUUCUGCUUCUGGCUAAGCUAAGGUUAGGGUUUCGGGUUCUGAUUUCUGACCUUCUUAUUGGUUGUGUCAGGUUCAGUUCAACUGGUUCCUAUGUACUGUAGUGUUCAGGAUAUGUUAACUUAGGACGACAUUUUCUGCCCCUUUAACUUUAAGUAAUGGAUCAGUAACUGUUUAAAUUGUAGUUUUGUUGUCAACAUCUUUCAACUCAACGGUAUUGGUCAAAGAGAAGAAUUCAGACGUCAUUCUGUUGACAGCCUGUAGCCUAUUACCAUGCAUAUUUUGUGCUUCCAAAAAUAUUUUUUGGAAAACAGAAAAAGGCCAAUUUUCUCUAUACACUUAUAAGCUACAAAAAUUGCAGAUUAGUAGUUUACUAAAAAGGUACAAUCAGCCAAGCACAGGAAGCAUGUUGUGUUUCAUGAAUUUGUUUGGAUUUAUAACACCUCUUUCCGCUUCCUGAGAACAAUUAUAAUUGACCAUUUUCUUGUUUGUUUGAAUCUUAUUUGUGGCUUGUCUCUGCAUGAAAUGGUCCCAGUAGACAGCUCAAGUCAUCUGCAGACAUUUAUAGUGCCCCCGUGCAAAAAAUAAACUAAAAUAAAAAACAAAAUGUAACUGUUAAGUACUCUACUUCAGUUUUCAUAUGUAUUAUUUGCAACUGACAUCUUCAUCCUUAACACUUAAUUUUUUUAGUAAGAGUCAUUUUCUUCUCUGAUUUGAUGUGGUUGCAUGCACCUUUUGCACCAAUGUUCUUUGAGAUGUAUUGGCUAAGGUUGUGCAACCUGUCGCACAGUACUACGGGAACAGGACAGCAGGUCCUGAAAUUAGUCUGUUUUGUGUGGAGAGUAAAGAAGGUUAGGCUUGACACAGUGUUGAGAAACUUCUCCACUUAGCCAAAGGUCCUGGGUUUGAUGUAGCCUCACUGCAAAAAUGCAGGGGUAAUGUUUGCCUCGGUUAUUCCUUCUCCAGACUCCACUCAUAUAGGAGCCGCCAACACUGGGUCUGUUCUUUGGAGUAUGUUGAGGACUAUUGUAUUUGACCAACAUUCCUUUAUUGGUUGUUCUGUUUCGCUGGUCACGAUUGCUCAUCUGUUUCUGAAACCUAACUCACUACUCAGCAUGUCAACUGAUUUGUAUUCUACUAUAGUAUCUUGGUUCGUUUCCUUUUAUGAAACUGACUGAUUAGUGAUUUGUGUGUGAUUUCUUCUAGUUCUUCUAAGCGAAAAAGAGGUGGACCUGGUGGUUUAAAUAAAGUUUGCGCAAUUUCACCUGAACUUCAGACCAUUGUUGGUGAGACUGCCAUGUCAAGAACUCAGGUACUAAAUUUCAUUGUGAUAGAAAUUUACACACUCUGUACUCUUCUGGUACUCUUUGAAUGAUUGACUCUAUAGAGUCUAGAAAAUAAAUAUUAGUCUUUAUUCAGAUUGUGAAGCAGCUCUGGGCAUAUAUCAGGCAGAACAAUCUUCAAGAUCCUGAUGACAAAAGGAAGAUUAUUUGCAAUGACGAACUUCGUGUGGUUUUUGAAACUGACAACACCGACAUGUUUAAAAUGAAUAAAUUAUUGGCUAAGCACAUAACCCCACUUGACCCAAGUACAGACUUCUAUUUCUUUUGAUCAACAUAUGCUACUUUAUGUUUGCAUUACUAAAGUUCAGUCCUGGAAUUUGCUCAAGUGCUUCCUAAUGACAUUGCAGAAGGUCAACUUCAUGAAGUAAAAAGAAUGAAGGCUCCCACCAUGUCUCCUCAACCUGGACGUUCCAUUGAUCAACCCUCCAUAGUUAUUUCUGACGCACUAGCAAAGUUCAUUGGAACAGAUGGAACAUUUCCUCACGAUUUUGCCCUGAAAUAUCUGUGGGAUUACAUAAAAGCAAACCAACUUGAGGUAUGGUUAGGUUAGGUCCUACCUUUUAGUUUGCAGAAUAACCCUGCCAUGUGUUCUUGGUUUUGCUGCAAGCCUGUAGCGAAUAUCAAGAAUUGAAGUGCAAAUUCACCUUUUGUUUUCUAGAGGUGCAUUGAAUGCAUGCACUGCAGUCCAUUCAAUUUUUGGUAACAAAUUUUCAUUAAUGUUCAGAAGUAGUAUGACAGUAAAAAAGUGAAGAACAACCGGGUAGACUCAAUAGUCAGCAACUUCGUGUUAAUGCUACAAACUUGGACUUAUCCCCUUUUUGGUUAAUUGUUUGGCUAUACUUUUGUGAACCUAUGUCACUGCUGUCUGGCCAAGAGGACUCGGUUGUCAGGAUAACUAGGUAGGAAUGUUCUUAGUGUGAAUAUUUUAUUGUAGGCUGCAAUGGCUGAUGCAGAGCGUUGUGGGUGGCAUUGUGUAGAUAUUUGUUUAUUGGACUAGGUAUUUGUUUGUUGAAACAUAUUAAUUCAGAUAUCCUGGAAUCUGAUUGAGGUUAGGACACUAACAGUUAAAAAAGUUCUGCACAUAUUUGCGCUAACAGUUAAAAAAAGUCAUUUUGAUUAUGAAGUGUGGAUUCACUGUGAGCUGUGAAAUUUAUGGCUUAAUACACCACAAAUAUUAAUUGCUCUGUUUGGUAAUGCAUAGGAUGUCAUCAACGAAUCAAUAUUAUGCGAUUCAAAACUUCAAGAGCUCUUUGGCUGUGAGAGCAUUCCUAUGUCAGGACUAUCAGAAAUGCUUGGUCACCACUUCAUCAAGAAAACAUAGCAAAUCCUCAUUAACUGGUCAGUUUCUGGCUGUAUCUCCUCUUUCUAGUGUCACAUUUGCUGAUUUCUGUCUAGAUAUUAGGUGUAAUAGUAUUUUCCCUAAAUUACUUUCAUGAUAGCACAUUGUUACACGUCAGUAAACUAUUUUCUACCUGCUCAUUUGAACCAGAGUUCGGUGCGUAAGGUUUUGUGCUUUGUCUUAUUCUGAUUUCAUACCUUGCGUGCAGAUCUAGGAUUGCAGUGUGGCAGAUAGGCCUAACAUUACAACAUGGUGUUCUUUACAGAAUGGACAGCAUAGUUUAUGUAUUUCUUCAAUUUUGUUGAUUAUGAAUUGUGUCCGGCACAUAUCAGAUUAUUUGCGGUAAGCCUGUACAUUGUUAUGCGUGCUGGCUACUGCUGUGUUGUCUGGUGUAAGUGUGUAACCUUCUCUACUGAAUUCGUAGUGCUAAUUCCUAAAUGUCAUUGCUGACUAUGUAAAGUUAAGCUUUCUAUUCGAGUGUCAGAUUGUUACUCUUAAGUCUUAAAAGUCAUAAGUUUUUCUUUGACUAAUAUUUUAAUGUUGAGGAAAUCCGACUAAAGUAGUUCACUUCCGACCAGUCUAAGUGGAGUACAAAUGUACAAUGGCUGUGGUGGACUGCUGGUGGUCUCUUCUUCCAGAAGAAAUUUCCAUUGUAUUUGUCGUUGUCCUCUUCGCUUUUAUGGAAGGUGGUGGUGCGCCUAUGGGACUUGAUUAACUUUAUUACCUGAGGGGUAGCUGAAAUGCCAAAGUAAAAAAGAAUGUCGGUUGGUUAGAUGGUCUAACUAGCACUUUCUUAGAUCUGGGUUCGAUUUUCUGUGUGAGCGAAUUCUAGGCUGAGAUUACUGUGUUGCACAUGUUCUACAAUGUUGAUGAGUAUGGGUGGAAUAUAGAUUCAGUUUUUUUAACCUGCAUCGUAGAAAGUAUUUUUUUCAAUAUAAUAUUUGGGACUCUUUUAGCCUGAUAGGUUGAGUUUUUUUAAAGGAAUGGCUGUUGGACACUUAUUGCAGCGUUAUUCCAGUUUUCAGAGCUCUGUACGUGUACCUUGACAGGCCAAACACGACGUUCAUGGAGUCGCCAUAUGGAUCCUGUUGCAUUCAUGUUCAUGGAACCUUGUCCUAAAUCACCGUGGGCAAAUAUGCAUGCACCAGUAGUCUGGUUACUUGCCCAAUGCGAAAUGCGAAGAUGAAAAAAGUUUAAUGUUUUUUCUUUGUACAACAAAAGUUUCAGCAAACAAGAAAUCAUUAAGACAUAAAGCUCAGUAAUUUGCAAUUUCCAUAAGGACAGUUGGAGCAGCCAAGUGGGACUGUUUGGACCGAAAAUCUUUAGGUACACGAAAAAAAUGCGUUAAAGGAACGAAAACAGUGGAAAGGGAAAAAUGCAUGAAAGGAAUAGGAGGGGAGGUUUGGAACAUAGAAAUUUGUAGCACAGGAAUUGCAAAGCGUAUGAUUUAUACACGUAAGUGUAGUGACAAAAGCAAGGAGAGAAGAAAGACGGAAAUAAUAGUGAGAGGUCUUAGUUUAGUUUUAGUAAUUAAUAACAGUGCUAUAUAACUAACAUAGGUUUUGUAGAGAUAAAAUAAGUUCGUUCAUAAUAAUGCAGGAUAAUUGAGCUUCUAUUCAUGUCCUUGUUGAUGUAGAUCAACGACCGUUUUUUUUAAAAAAAAUGAUAAAAAGGUUAAAGAUUAGAUAGUUCUAAGUAUCAAUGUAGUUGUUAGACAUUUAGACUGUGAUAGAACUUUUGUCUUGCUUUUAACUCCUGUCCUACAGUAAGGCAGCCUUUGACGGCGAUGCCACAAGGAAUGACUGUUGGAUCUCAGACGAAAAUUACGCUUUCAACUCAAGUUUUUUUUGUCUUUGAUAUUAUAUUUAGUUAUAAUAAAUAUACAUUAAUCAGUUCAACCAAAAAGUUAAGAUGGUGGAUGGUGGAGAGAGUGCAUUCUAAGAGCAUCUCUAAGAAACUCUUUAUUUUUGACUCUUUAUUUGUCUCUACAUAAAUAUUAAACUGUAUAUAUAACAUCACAUUCCAACAGACUUUUUAACAUGCAAGUUAGCUUGACUAGCGAGAGUUGCUAGCCAAAUUUAGCUAGUGAAGGAGUCAAUUUAGAGAGCCGGAUAGCUUGACAAGUUAAAUGGCUAGUCUGUUGAAGAACUAUUUUACUGUUAAGUAACUAAAAUUUACCUUGACAAACUAUUUAGCUAGUCUCUUAAAGAUGCACUAACCGGAUUUACGGAUUUACUUCACGGCAAAAAACGAGAUCCAACCUCUAUAAGAGACCUGAUGGUUUUUUAUUAAAAAUAAAUAAGCAAAAAUAGACACUCACAUUCUAAAGUUCAGAGAGAACUUUUAAAACUAAGUGGUUAGGCUAGGUGCACGAUCACACCUUCCAAUCAACGACAUAAGUGGACGACGAGGAUCGUCCCUUGCCUGCAUCCCCAACAAUUUAGUUUCCUUUUUUUCCCUCCAAAACACUCGUCGUCGUCGUCCCAAACAUUGUAGGCAUCAUCUUCCAUGGAUAGCUACGAUGGCAUUUGUAGUCAAACCCUACAAUUACAAUGCCGACAAGCCAGCUGAAGCCUGGAGGCUGGAGGCGACAGGCUAGCUUAUCUUCGACUGGAAUCCGCCGUCGCGGUAGCCGACGCUGGCGCUGGACACGGCCGCCAGUAGCUGCACGUCGUCGAACGCGUCCUCCACCUCCACCUCCUCCUCCUGCUCGCCGGCGCCGAUGAAGGCGACGUCGGCGCCCUGCGGCGGCCCCAUCACGGUCCUGCUCGUCUUCAUCUGCUCCUCGAACAUCUUCUGCAGCUUCUUGCCUUGCGCCUCGAUCCUCAGCUGCAGAUUCCUCUGGAUCUGCAAGACACGUCACCCGGGAAAAAAAAAGCGUCACUACAUGCAGCCCACGAACACACGUCAAAUCUUGCCUAUCUGAUCUAAGCUAGGGUUCUUUAUCGACGCCAAGUGUUCGAUGCGUAGAUCGACGGAGCACACCUCGAGCUGCUCGUGGAGGCGCCUCUGCACGUCGAGCUGGACGCGUAGCGCUUCCGUGAUCUUCAUCCCGCUGCAGAUUAAGAAGGAAGAAGGCGCGUGAGCGCUGUUAGCUAGCUGGCGGUGCACAUCACAUGGCUGCCAUGAGGGUUCGUGUGCAGUGUCACAAGGUAGACGACGACAGUUAUUACGUACGUGCCGGGGUCGAGAUUCUGCACGUCAUUGGCGGCAGCAGCUCGUUUCUCUUUCCCUGCAAUUCGACAACGGCCGGGAUGGGAUGGCAGCAAAGACGUGUGUCAGUCAGCAUCGCGCAUGGCAUAUAACGGCCAUGGGAUGGAUAAGGCUUGAGUUGACGUGUUCGUAGAAUAGCAUAUUGUACUAGUGUACUGUUCUAAAUUCUUGGUGGAUUGGACUGAAUUAGAUUAGAUUUGAUUUGAUUACCUUCGGACGUCGAUGACACGGGCAUGUACUUGGCUAUGCGGUAUUUCUGAAAUCGAGAGAGGAGGAUAUUAGAUUGUUAUUAGGCCGUCCUACAAAUUCGCGUCAAAAAGACAGACAUCAUGUAUCCAAAUUUGAAUUUUUUUUCACUCCUGGCGAGUUAAGAAAAGGUGCCCUUUUUAAUUUACAAAAGGAAAAAAAAUCUGUGUACCUGAAGGUGGCUCUUGAUGUGGUAGAUUGUGAGGCCAUCAGAGUUCAUCAGCUUCAGAAUGCCCUUGGGAGUCGCCUCUGCAAGCAAGUGUCACGCAACAACAAGAGAAGACUACAUGACUCUAUGAGAGAGAGAGAGAGAGAUCCGUAGCCUAACAUUCGAUUAAGCAAAGCAGACAGAUAAACCAAGAACUCUUGAAGAGAAAGGAAAAAAAAAAGGAGUUUCGGAUCAAGGACGAUGCUCACUGUCCGCGCCGCCGAGCUUGUUGACGCAGUCGACGAAGCGCUCGUGGAGGUCCUGCGUCCACCGAAUCCGCGUCUUGCUGGGAGCACCUUGCCCCGGCGCGGCGGCGUUACCGCUCCCUGCGUGGGUCGCCGCCGCACCGAUGAUACUGCAGCUCCUGGACAGCGGGUUGUCCAUAAGGCUCUGCAUGCCCGGCGGCGCCUCCAUCGCGGGGACAAACGUGCUCGCCGGAACCUGCUUCAGGGUCUAGCCAGACAAGAACCGCUAUCAAAACACGAUCAUGGCAUGGCAUGCUUAGUUAGGAGAACGGCAACUCUAUCAGUGAAUCAUUCCCACGCGUUCGCUUACGUGAGCUGGAAAGGAGUGAGCUUGAGGCUCGCCGCCGCCGAGUAGCCUGCCGGUGGAAGGGUCGCCGAAUAGCCCGUGCACUUGUUGCUGCUGCCGCCGCUGGAAUGGCAGCUCGAGUGAAGGAGGCGCCUCCGUGGCGCCGUCGCGCUGCUGCGGCCGGACGUAGUACGUCCUCACCGCCGCGCAGUCGCGGAGCGGCAGCGGGUCCACUGGGUACAGCCGCUCGCGCUCGCGCUCGCCCCCCGUCGUGGGCCUCGGCCGGCCAAACGGCGGUCCCUUGGCAAACGCUGUCAGCUCCUGGAGUGCCGUCGUCGUUCCGCCGAGAGGGGAGUCGAACCGCGCCGUGCCCAUCAUGAGCUCCUCGGCGGCGAAGAACGCGGCGGCGUCGGAGCCGACGACGCAGCCGCCCUGCCCCUGCGCCGCCCUCGGGGUCGUCGCGGUGUGCUCCUCGUGCACCCAGCCGCCGCCGCCGCCGCCAUGCCGCUGCGGCAGGGAGCCCACGAGCCCCGGCCCCGGGUGCAAGGAGAGCCCUGCGGUGGUGGCGGCGGCGGCGCGCGGGAACAGCUGUGGGUCACACAUCGGCGAUCCGUAGCAGUGGUGAUAGUCGUGCAGCUUAAUCUUCUUGGCGUUCAUCGAUCAUCUAGCGAUUACGACGUCUCGGGACUGAAACUGGACAACCAAACAGAGAACGAGACGACCACAAACAGCUUGUCAAACUGCUUCAAGAAGAGCUCGAACGAACGCGUCAAACAGUUCAUCGUAGACACACACACACACAACGCGGCUUAUUUUCAGCAUCCUGUGAGUGAGACCUCAAACAGACGGUUGUAAUAGGGAAGCAACUAAUCAGUUCCGAACAGGAGAGGAGCAGGAUUAGCGCAGUGGAUGAUGCUUAAAUAGGGCCGGCCGGGGAUGCACAUGCUAGCUCCACUUCCAUCCAAAUUCCAAUCCGGAGGGAAUUCUCACGCUGGGUUCUAGUGGCCGAAUAAGAUCCUGCGCCGGUCCAUAGUAGUAUCCCUGGCGCACGGCGUGAUGAGAAUGGGAAUAAUUCGACGGCGGCGAGUGCCUCCGGACUCCGGAGCGCGUACGCCGCAGCCGCCGGAGGAGGAGGAUGCGGCAAGGACACGGCAGCGCGAGCAAGUAGGAGGAGGAAGGAACGGUGCAGACGCGUCGGCAGACGUGGUUAGAGCAACUUACAGCUUGCAUUGAAGGCAUCGGCCUGAUGGAGUGAUGGGAGCCCAAGGCCCAAGCCAAGCAGGUGACAGAGAAUGAUAAGAUGCAAAGAUGAUCCACCUGGUAACAGUAUAUAAAAGUGCAGGCUUCCAUGUCGGACAGGAGGCUAGGGGACAAACGCAGGCUUUGAUGCUUUCACCCCCUCUCUUUCUAGCCUGGCAAGUUGCCAUUGGUCUCAUUCACGGCCUCCAUUUGUAGCUGGAUUAAUUUCGAGCUUGCAAAAUCACAGUAGAGAUCAGGAGGCUAGGGGACAAACUUGUGCUGGUACAUAUCCAAGUGAUGCAGGUUCCAGGGGGGUCGUCCAUAUCCUUUUUACGUUGAAUCCAAUUGCUAUACUAUUACUAUACCAGACCACACACUUGUGUAUGGGAACCAUUCUCCAUUGGGGGGGGGGGGGGGGGGGGGGGGUCUGACUGUCACUGAGCAGCCGUUAAAAAGAACUGUCUCUUCGGAAUCUCCAUGGUCAGAAACGAGAACAACGAGAAUCUCCAUGGAAAACUCAUUGGUCGUCGUCUCGUCUGUCUGUGUAUCCGAAUGUAGAAGGCGACGCAGCAAGUGGACGGUGAAACUUAUGCGUAUAAUGGGAUUGCAGAUUUGCACACGCGCAAGACAGGCGUGCCAACGUGGAAAGGAUUAAUUGGUCGACAAUCUUAUCUGGAUGCAUGUGUCUGUACAAAUAUAUAUAGUAUAGGCUUGGUGCCUCGCCUGUUGGUGGUGCUAGCUGCUCCAUCGGCCUUUGAAUGCCUCAAGAGCCACUCACGCCCGGCGCUCCCAACUCCAAUCCUGUUCUUUAUCGAUUCCUCGUCGGAUUCGUCCAUGUGUCCAGUGUCAACCAAAGCAAAAGUACAAAACCCACGUCGGAAUAAGUCUACCCUAGUAGAUACUUUAAGAUAGAUCAAAAAGACUAUGAAGCUAUUCAUUUGUGGUUAGCAUGAUCCCUUGUAUUUUAAAGGGGGAUUGCCUGCAUGCAGAAUACUCUUCAGGGUUCAGCUAGAUCCCU
rnacentral:lncRNA from 1 species